rnacentral:rRNA from 1 species
GGAGUUUGAUCCUGGCUCAGGAUGAACGCUAGCUACAGGCUUAACACAUGCAAGUCGAGGGGCAGCAUGGUCUUAGCUUGCUAAGGCCGAUGGCGACCGGCGCACGGGUGAGUAACACGUAUCCAACCUGCCGUCUACUCUUGGACAGCCUUCUGAAAGGAAGAUUAAUACAAGAUGGCAUCAUGAGUCCGCAUGUUCACAUGAUUAAAGGUAUUCCGGUAGACGAUGGGGAUGCGUUCCAUUAGAUAGUAGGCGGGGUAACGGCCCACCUAGUCUUCGAUGGAUAGGGGUUCUGAGAGGAAGGUCCCCCACAUUGGAACUGAGACACGGUCCAAACUCCUACGGGAGGCAGCAGUGAGGAAUAUUGGUCAAUGGGCGAGAGCCUGAACCAGCCAAGUAGCGUGAAGGAUGACUGCCCUAUGGGUUGUAAACUUCUUUUAUAAAGGAAUAAAGUCGGGUAUGCAUACCCGUUUGCAUGUACUUUAUGAGUAAGGAUCGGCUAACUCCGUGCCAGCAGCCGCGGUAAUACGGAGGAUCCGAGCGUUAUCCGGAUUUAUUGGGUUUAAAGGGAGCGUAGAUGGAUGUUUAAGUCAGUUGUGAAAGUUUGCGGCUCAACCGUAAAAUUGCAGUUGAUACUGGAUAUCUUGAGUGCAGUUGAGGCAGGCGGAAUUCGUGGUGUAGCGGUGAAAUGCUUAGAUAUCACGAAGAACUCCGAUUGCGAAGGCAGCCUGCUAAGCUGCAACUGACAUUGAGGCUCGAAAGUGUGGGUAUCAAACAGGAUUAGAUACCCUGGUAGUCCACACGGUAAACGAUGAAUACUCGCUGUUUGCGAUAUACAGCAAGCGGCCAAGCGAAAGCGUUAAGUAUUCCACCUGGGGAGUACGCCGGCAACGGUGAAACUCAAAGGAAUUGACGGGGGCCCGCACAAGCGGAGGAACAUGUGGUUUAACUCGAUGAUACGCGAGGAACCUUACCCGGGCUUAAAUUGCAGAUGAAUUACGGUGAAAGCCGUAAGCCGCAAGGCAUCUGUGAAGGUGCUGCAUGGUUGUCGUCAGCUCGUGCCGUGAGGUGUCGGCUUAAGUGCCAUAACGAGCGCAACCCUUGUUGUCAGUUACUAACAGGUCAUGCUGAGGACUCUGACAAGACUGCCAUCGUAAGAUGUGAGGAAGGUGGGGAUGACGUCAAAUCAGCACGGCCCUUACGUCCGGGGCUACACACGUGUUACAAUGGGGGGUACAGAGGGCCGCUACCACGCGAGUGGAUGCCAAUCCCAAAAACCUCUCUCAGUUCGGACUGGAGUCUGCAACCCGACUCCACGAAGCUGGAUUCGCUAGUAAUCGCGCAUCAGCCGCGGCGCGGUGAAUACGUUCCCGGGCCUUGUACACACCGCCCGUCAAGCCAUGGGAGCCGGGGGUACCUGAAGUGCGUAACCGCGAGGAGCGCCCUAGGGUAAAACUGGUGACUGGGGCUAAGUCGUAACAAGGUA